rnacentral:rRNA from 1 species
ACGCUGGCGGCACGCCUAACACAUGCAAGUCGAACGAAGUAGCAAUACUUAGUGGCAGACGGGUGAGUAACAUGUAGGUAUCUGCCCUUUGGCCUGGAAUAACACGAGGAAACUUGUGCUAAUACCGGAUAAGUCUUUACAGAGAAAGCUUUAUGCACCAUUGGAUGAGCCUGCACUUGAUUAGUUUGUUGGUGGGGUAAUGGCCUACCAAGACUGUGAUCAAUAGCUGAUUUGAGAGGAUGAUCAGCCACAUUGGGACUGAGACACGGCCCAAACUCCUACGGGAGGCAGCAGUGGGGAAUCUUGCACAAUGGAGGAAACUCUGAUGCAGCGAUGCCGCGUGAGUGAAGAAGGCCUUUGGGUUGUAAAGCUCUUUCGUCGGGGAAGAAAAUGACUGUACCCGAAUAAGAAGGUCCGGCUAACUUCGUGCCAGCAGCCGCGGUAAUACGAAGGGACCUAGCGUAGUUCGGAAUUACUGGGCUUAAAGAGUUCGUAGGUGGUUGAAAAAGUUAGUGGUGAAAUCCCAGAGCUUAACUCUGGAACUGCCAUUAAAACUUUUUAGCUAGAGUAUGAUAGAGGAAAGCAGAAUUUCUAGUGUAGAGGUGAAAUUCGUAGAUAUUAGAAAGAAUACCAAUUGCGAAGGCAGCUUUCUGGAUCAUUACUGACACUGAGGAACGAAAGCAUGGGUAGCGAAGAGGAUUAGAUACCCUCGUAGUCCAUGCCGUAAACGAUGUGUGUUAGACGUUGGAAAUUUAUUUUCAGUGUCGCAGCGAAAGCGAUAAACACACCGCCUGGGGAGUACGACCGCAAGGUUAAAACUCAAAUGAAUUGACGGGGACCCGCACAAGUAGUGGAGCAUGUGGUUUAAUUCGAAGAUACGCGCAGAACCUUACCAACACUUGACAUGUUCGUCGCGACUCUAAGAGAUUAGAGUUUUCGGUUCGGCCGGACGAAACACAGGUGCUGCAUGGCUGUCGUCAGCUCGUGUCGUGAGAUGUUGGGUUAAGUCCCGCAACGAGCGCAACCCUCACUUUUAGUUGCCAUCAUUAAGUUGGGCACUCUGAAAGAACUGCCAGUGAUAAGCUGGAGGAAGGUGGGGAUGACGUCAAGUCCUCAUGGCCCUUACGUGUUGGGCUACACACGUGCUACAAUGGCAUCUACAACAGGAAGCAAAACGGCAACGUUAAGCAAAUCCCGAAAAGAUGCCUCAGUUCGGAUUGCACUCUGCAACUCGAGUGCAUGAAGCUGGAAUUACUAGUAAUCGUGGAUCAGCGUGCCACGGUGAAUGCGUUCCCGGGUCUUGCACACACCGC